rnacentral:rRNA from 1 species
AGCAGCCGCGGUAAUUCCAGCUCCAAUAGCGUAUAUUAAAGUUGUUGCAGUUAAAAAGCUCGUAGUUGAAUUUCGGGAUCAAGUCGUCGGUCGUGCUCAGGUACGUACUGGCGUCAUUGAUUUCUCCCUUCUGACGAACCAUGAUGUCAUUAAUUUGGUGUUAUGGGAAAUCAGGACUGUUACUUUGAAAAAAUUAGAGUGUUAAAGCAGGCUCACGCUUGAAUACAUUAGCAUGGAAUAAUGAAAAUAGGACGUUCGAUCCUAUUUUGUUGGUUUUAGGAUCAACGUAAUGAUUAAUAGGGAUAGUUGGGGGCAUUAGUAUUCAAUUGUCGAGAGGUUGAAAUUCUUGGAUUUAUUGAAGACUAACUACUGCGAAAAGCAUUUGCCAAGGAUGUUUUUCAUUUAAUCAAAGAACGAAAUGUUAGGGGAUCGAAGACGAUCAGAUACCGUCGUAGUCUUAACCAUAAACUAUGCCGACUAGGGAUCGGAUGAUGUUAAUUUUUUAAUGACUCAUUC